rnacentral:rRNA from 1 species
GACGAACGCUGGCGGCGUGCUUAACACAUGCAAGUCGAACGGAAGGGCCCUGCUUGCAGGGUACUCGAGUGGCGAACGGGUGAGUAACACGUGGGUGAUCUGCCCUGCACUUCGGGAUAAGCCUGGGAAACUGGGUCUAAUACCGGAUAGGAGCCAUUUUUAGUGUGAUGGUUGGAAAGUUUUUUCGGUGUAGGAUGAGCUCGCGGCCUAUCAGCUUGUUGGUGGGGUAAUGGCCUACCAAGGCGGCGACGGGUAGCCGGCCUGAGAGGGUGGACGGCCACAUUGGGACUGAGAUACGGCCCAGACUCCUACGGGAGGCAGCAGUGGGGAAUAUUGCACAAUGGGCGCAAGCCUGAUGCAGCGACGCCGCGUGGGGGAUGACGGCCUUCGGGUUGUAAACUCCUUUCGCUAGGGACGAAGCUUUUUGUGACGGUACCUAGAUAAGAAGCACCGGCUAACUACGUG